rnacentral:rRNA from 1 species
CCUACGGGGGGCAGCAGUGAGGAAUAUUGGUCAAUGGGCGCGAGCCUGAACCAGCCAAGUAGCGUGAAGGAUGACUGCCCUACGGGUUGUAAACUUCUUUUAUAAAGGAAUAAAGUGAGGCACGUGUGCCUUUUUGUAUGUACUUUAUGAAUAAGGAUCGGCUAACUCCGUGCCAGCAGCCGCGGUAAUACGGAGGAUCCGAGCGUUAUCCGGAUUUAUUGGGUUUAAAGGGAGCGUAGAUGGGUUGUUAAGUCAGUUGUGAAAUUUUGCGGCUCAACCGUAAAAUUGCAAUGGAUACGGGCAGCCUGGAGUAGAGAUGAGGAAGGCGGAAUUCGUGGUGUAGCGGUGAAA